CUCACCAAGGCGAAGACGGGUAGCUGGUCUGAGAGGAUGAUCAGCCACACUGGAACUGAGACACGGUCCAGACUCCUACGGGAGGCAGCAGUGGGGAAUAUUGCGCAAGUGGGACGAAAGCCUGACGCAGCCACGCCGCGUGAGCGAUGAAGGUCUUCGGAUCGUAAAGCUCUGGUGGGGGGAGAAGAAGAAAGUCGGUGAAGAGCCGACCCUGACGGUAUCCCCUUAGCAAGCACCGGCUAACUCCGUGCCAGCAGCCGCGGUAAUACGGAGGGUGCAAACGUUGCUCGGAAUCAUUGGGCGUAAAGCGCGCGUAGGCGGCUGAACAAGUUGGAUGUGAAAGCCCUGGGCUCAACCUAGGAUGUGCAUUCAAAACUGUUCGGCUUGAGUCUCGGAGGGGGUCAGAGAAUUCUCGGUGUAGAGGUGAAAUUCGUAGAUAUCGGGAG
rnacentral:rRNA from 1 species